rnacentral:rRNA from 1 species
UUCACGGAGAGUUUGAUCCUGGCUCAGGACGAACGCUGGCGGCGUGCUUAACACAUGCAAGUGGAGCGACGAACCAGGCUUCGGCCUGGGGCAGAGCCGCGAACGGGUGAGUAACACGUGGGUAACGUGCCCCGAUGACUGGGACAACCCGGGGAAACCCGGGCUAAUACCGGAUAUGCCCCCUCACGCGAGUGAGGUGUGUAAAGGAAGCUUCGGCCUCCGCAUCGGGAUCGGCCCGCGGCCCAUUAGCUUGUUGGUGAGGUAACGGCUCACCAAGGCUGCGAUGGGUAGCUGGUCUGAGAGGACGAUCAGCCACACUGGGACUGAGACACGGCCCAGACUCCUACGGGAGGCAGCA